AUUGAACGCUGGCGGCAGGCCUAACACAUGCAAGUCGAACGGUAACAGGAAGCAGCUUGCUGCUUCGCUGACGAGUGGCGGACGGGUGAGUAAUGUCUGGGAAACUGCCUGAUGGAGGGGGAUAACUACUGGAAACGGUAGCUAAUACCGCAUAACGUCGCAAGACCAAAGAGGGGGACCUUCGGGCCUCUUGCCAUCGGAUGUGCCCAGAUGGGAUUAGCUAGUAGGUGGGGUAACGGCUCACCUAGGCGACGAUCCCUAGCUGGUCUGAGAGGAUGACCAGCCACACUGGAACGGAGACACGGUCCAGACUCCUACGGGAGGCAGCAGUGGGGAAUAUUGCACAAUGGGCGCAAGCCUGAUGCAGCCAUGCCGCGUGUAUGAAGAAGGCCUUCGGGUUGUAAAGUACUUUCAGCGGGGAGGAAGGCGAUAAGGUUAAUAACCUUGUCGAUUGACGUUACCCGCAGAAGAAGCACCGGCUAACUCCGUGCCAGCCGCAGUAACAC
rnacentral:rRNA from 1 species